UACGUAUGGAGCAAGCGUUAUCCGGAUUUACUGGGUGUAAAGGGUGCGUAGGUGGCAGUGCAAGUCAGAUGUGAAAGGCCGGGGCUCAACCCCGGAGCUGCAUUUGAAACUGUAUAGCUAGAGUACAGGAGAGGCAGGCGGAAUUCCUAGUGUAGCGGUGAAAUGCGUAGAUAUUAGGAGGAACACCAGUGGCGAAGGCGGCCUGCUGGACUGUUACUGACACUGAGGCACGAAAGCGUGGGGAGCAAACAGG
rnacentral:rRNA from 1 species